rnacentral:rRNA from 1 species
UACGUAGGGUGCGAGCGUUGUCCGGAAUUAUUGGGCGUAAAGAGCUUGUAGGCGGUUUGUCGCGUCUGCCGUGAAAUUUCGAGGCUCAACCUCGAACUUGCGGUGGGUACGGGCAGACUAGAGUGUGGUAGGGGAGACUGGAAUUCCUGGUGUAGCGGUGAAAUGCGCAGAUAUCAGGAGGAACACCGAUGGCGAAGGCAGGUCUCUGGGCAGUAACUGACGCUGAGGAGCGAAAGCGUGGGGAGCGAACAGG